rnacentral:tRNA from 1 species
UAAGGUAAAGUACAAAGUACAUUUUAGUUACAUUAAAAAAGUCUAAUAUUAUUAGUACCUUAA